AGACCGCUUCACCUCACGAGACGGCCGGGUGCGCCACUCUUAACCCCGCAAACCCAGAGCACCCCCCUCCCUAACCCUCCCUCCUCAAUCUCACGUCUGAAAAGCGGCUUUCGACAGCAGUGGCUGACGACUGCGUUUGGCUCCUGAGGGGGGAAUGCAGGUGAAUGCAGAAACAGGCCUCUGGGUCAACGCGAGCAACGCCACUCUCGCUCUGAAGCGGCGGCCCCUGGAGGCAGGCGUGAUGGAUGACCCCGCUGCACGCGGGCGGACAUUCCUGACACUCGGCCGCAGACAGAUUAACCAGGUCACCCUUCAGCUCCGCGUCCACCUGCCGGCCUGUUACGGGGGCAGGGCCUGCUCCGCGCACAGCUCCCAUUGUCUGCGGCACACGCCAUGCCCCCAGGAGACAGGCCCCGGCCAGACCUGAAUGAAGGGGGAGGAGGGAGGAAGCAGAGGCAGGGCAGGGAGGCGAUACCGGAGACGGCCCUGCCACAUACUUCCAUCAGAAGCCUCCGCUGAGUGAUAUUUUCCUGUGGACGGGCCUUUCCGUUGGAGCGGGCAGGACGGGCCGGGUGCGGGGGGCCCUGCUGGUGGACAGGUGUGUGGCUGUAGCAGGAAAGCCGACCCUGAAACUGGACCCCAGCAGCUGUGCAGCAGGUGGCCAGUGGACAGGCCUUCUCCCUGCAUUGUCUCCCAGGCCGGGCCGUGGAUCAGACACUUCAGAGGGGCUCAGGCCUAAGAAAUCCAAUGUAUGGUAAUAGCUGACUGCUCUCAAAGAGCUGGCAGAGUGGAACUCUAUCGCGCCUGGCCCAUUGACAGUGACUGUGGAUACACUGGAGGGGGAAAUAGCAUGUUUUCCCAUCCGCCGGCGUGCUCAACGGGUUUACAGUCACAAUCCACAUACCUGCUAUUCACAGAGCAGCUAAUGGCCUCCUCAGUCUGAUGGGCUCUGUGACAGCUCAAAAGCAACACAUUGUACUAAGGGAACACCUGAUUGUUCCGGCCAGGAAUUUACGUGUCUAAUCAGUAAUCGGCACAAGUGCGGACUUGCCGUGUUCGAAGGCGCGGCCAUAUCUUAGGAUGGCCACAAAGGUUUAUACCACCUUGGCAUUGAGGAAGAGGAAAGCAAACUCCUGGCCCAUGCAAAGCACUCAAUGGGGAUUAGAAUGCUCUGCAUAAAGCCG